rnacentral:lncRNA from 1 species
CGCCACACCCCACCACGCCCCACACAGCUUCACACCCUGUGUCUCAGCUCCUGAAAGUCAAUGACAUCCUGCCCCCUGUGCCAGGCCCAACAGGGCACAGAAAUGUGUCUUUGAGAGUUUGGUGCCUCAGGGGAAGUUACAUGUUCUCAUUCCAUUGUCAUCACCAGAGGAGACCAGAACCCCAAAGAGAGUGGCUACAGCAUCCCCAGAAACUUCUAGAAAGCUUUAGCAAGGAUCCCAAGGCUUCCACGUUCAACACUUAUGGAGGUAGGGAGAGGGUCCUAACCCAGAAGUUGGGCUUUCAAUUUCAAUCUCUUUCUCCUCAAAGCACUCAAAGCACCAGAAACUGCAUCUAGUAGGUUCUCAAACACACCCCAGCCCCAUCUCUCCUUACAGGCCCCCAAGCGUCAAGGACAGAUAUGCAGGAUUCCACAGAAUGGAUCAGAUGCAGAUGCUCAGACAUAAGGAACUGAAGAUAGGGAUGAGCCUGCGCAGGGUCUGGUCCAUCACAGGAGCGUCCGAUCAGACCCAACCUCUCUGUAGUCCCUAAGUGGGUGCCUGACAGCAGUCCCGCAGCUCCUCGCCUCGGCCUCCUCAAUGGAGCUUUUAAAAAGCUGGCCACCAUCCUCGGAGGGUCAACCACUUCUCUGGGGACACUUUGUCCCCGCCCUGUCCAGGCUCCCACAGACCCUCAGGCCUGUGUCCCAACCCUGCCACCCUCCUGGGACCCCUAUCUUCCUCCCUCUGCGUCGCCUCGUCAGCUGGAGUCCAGCUGGCAAGCAGGCUGUGCUGUGGGUCUGGCCAAGGCUUGAAGGAGGAGGAAUUUCUUCUCCACAUCCCGCUCUUGUUCACACAACCCAGAGACCUGGAUUCAGAAUGCAGGCCAGGGAGGAGAUUCCAGAGUCCGGAUCCAGGUGGAAUGGAGGCCACAUUCAAAGAGCGGGGGGUGGAGGGGGGCUGCUCUCCUCCCCACUCCACCCCCACAUAGAAGCAAGAAAAGAACGGAAAACUUCCCAGAGGCAUCCAGCAAAGGUGUCAAGGAAACAAGAGAGCAGGUCACAGCCACCAGCUCCCUGGGGACAGGCUCCGAACACAGGUCUCUGACCCGUGAGAGGCAGGAAGUUCCUCCUGAUACCUAACCUCCAUCCCCACUGGCAAAUUCCAGACCGUUUUCCUCUUGGACUGCCCUGCCUGGGGAAGAACAGCUGGGUCCCUCUCUGCACAAUAAAUGCCUUCAGACCCUGGCGACUCA